rnacentral:lncRNA from 1 species
CCAGUUGUUGUUCGCGUCGUCGGGAGCGCGUUCGCAGCGGGCCGUGCCAGCCGUCUCUCACCAAUGCUGUGCCUGAGGGCUUUGCUGGUUGGGUCGCCAGUGGAGGACGAGGCCAUGCUUGCUCCGCUCUUUCAGAUCUAGGAGUGUAACAGAGUGCUGCGGUGGAUCUAAAGUCCGUGAACACCCCAACCCGUGAUCUGUUUAUACGAUGGAUCUAAAGUCCUCCGACAUGCUGCUGCCCGGUCCAGGAAGGUAUGUGAACUUUGAGCAGACAAUGUUGGUUCGUUCUCGGUGGAGGUACAGUGGGUCACUAGAUAGUGGAUACUGGAUACAAUAGCAGCAGGUGGAUGUGUACGUAAUUGUACUUAUCCUGUGCUUUCUUGUGAUUGUAAACCUAAUCACAUUCUAGAUUGAUUGAUUCAUAUUGCCUUUCAUAAUUAGAAUAACGGGUGUUGUUUAUGAUGGUAUGCAUUAUCUUCCCUCCAGUUCUAGCUGCUCAACUUGCAUAUUUUACAACAAGCCCAAAAGACACACACUAUUUUAUGGAUAUUUACAUUAGCUUUUCAUCCUUUAGUGGUGAAAACAGUUUCCCAAAUUUUCUUUCCUUGUUCAUUCUUAUAUUAAUUUUUUUGUAAUGAUUUUCAUGACAAUCCACACACACACACACACAGAGAUGGAAUAUUUAUUGAUAUGAUUUUUUGGUGGAAACAAACCGGAGGAAGUGAUGCACAACUCAGAAAAAGGUAAGUGAUGUGAAAUUUCUAGGUGCAUUGCUAUUUACACUACCAUGCAAUGACAUUCAAAUACGUAUUAAGCAUGUCCUUAAUAAAGUUUAACAUGCCAUUUUCUAUUAGAGUACUCCGAUCCAAGCUGGAUAUGUAGCUAGCCUCUCCUAAUCUGCCUGUAAAAGACACUCUCCUAAUCUUCCCAUGCUUUCAGUUUCUUCGGUAUCGGAGUUCUCAUCUAUUCUUUGAGAUUUCCAAAAAUUUGUGGUCUCCUUCCUGUUAUGUCACUAUUAAGUCUUCAGUUCAACGUGACACAUGCAGGGCCACCUUAAGUGCUCAACUGCCACAUCUAGCGGGAUAUGGAGAGGGACACGGAGAUUAUAUGCGUACCGAUGGUUGCGGGUUGAUGAAUACGGACCUGCUGAUGCAGUGGUGAGGACUAUAUACCCCAUGUACUUUACCAUGAACAAUCCAAGGUUGACUAAUAAAAUAUUGAUAGGAUCUACCAUUUAUUACUUUCUCUUUUUAAAAUGUGAAUAUGUUUCUAGACAUUGAAUAAAUCUUGAUAGGAUCUGCCAUUUACGGUUUUCUCUUUUUAAAAUGUGAUUAUGUUUAUAGACUUUGAAUAAUAAAAACAUCAAUUUCUCAAGAUUCUGAAUAAAACUUUUUUAUAUGGAUUUCUGCUUUAUUUAUCUGCUGUGAUCAGUGUUUUCUUCUUGCAUGUGGCUUAGUAACACCAACCAAUACAUGUCUUUACGCAUGUGAUUUGUUUGUUCCUCUCAUUCUAUUAUUAAACUUAUUAAUUUGAUCUUUUUCGUUAUACAGAUCACUUCUGACAUUACCAGUUCCUGCACUCCUGGACUCCUCCUUUACCAACGACCCACAUGCAAAAUAACGUAAGCUGUCAGGCUCCAACUUGAUAAUCUAGAUGACAUGGUCACUAUACUGAGAACUGUUUUCCUUCAAAUGUAGAAAAAAAUGUUGCUCAAUCUGCUAUUUACAGAAAAAUGAGUAGCUGGCACUUGCUUCUAUUAAAUAGACAGUCAAUUUGUAGUAUGCAUCAGUACAACAAAAAGCCUUUUAGGUUGCCUGCCAGUUUAAAUUAUUUCUAUAAUGGUAAAUAGACAGUCAAUUUGUAGUAUGCAUCAGUACCACAAAAAGCCUUUUAGGUUGCCUGUCAGUUUGUAUUAUCUCUAUAAUGGUGAUUGGAUAUUGUGGGCUCUGCCUGUCAUUUUAGCAUGCUACAGAUUUCUACCUAAGGUGAUUAUCAGCUUGAAUUUGAGCAGAAGGCUAAAGCUGUUCUUGGAACUUACAACAGGGUUGUAUUUCCAAAUGAAAAAAGAUGACAAAGCUCUAUUUUUUUAGAAUGUUACCUUUUACUAUGCCUGGUCAGAAACAAGCGAAUCCUCUCGAGUUUGUCGAGUUGUUUGCAGUGAUCACCUGCCAUUUUUUAUUUGUAUAAUGUUUGAAGUUUGCAUGAAUGGAUUCAAUGAAAUUAUAGGUGCCAUACUACUUUGGUCGUGAUUAUGCUUCCAGAUAUUUAUAGAAAUCACUAUCAUUCUUUUCAAAAUAGGACGGGCGCGACAACGCGCGCCAUCCAUGAUCUAGUGACUACUAAUAGCAAGACUUCUUCCAUGUCUUCAAGAACAAAAGUAACUACUCACAAAGUAUAAAUAUGUUCAUAACCAGAGG